UGAGCAACUCAUCAAAUUUGACUGCCAAAUGAGAUACAAUGAAGCGAAAACGUUGAGAAAUAAGCCUCCGGUUUUGUUUUGUUUUUCUUAUGAAGAAUUCAUCGUCUCCAGGUGAUUUAUUCAUCUGGUUUUCGGAAGAUCCGUCGCUAAGAGGCUCCCUAAUCACUUGUGGAGUAGCGCCGAGGGUUAUGCAUUCAGUACUUGGUGAUUCUACUCUAAUAGCUCUUACGUGACCAGAACAAAACAAAAUGGUUGCCUCGACCUGACGGAUCGUAUGAAAAACAUACGAACAGGCUAUGUGUAAAAUACGGGAAGUCGUUAUAACGGCAAGUAGCUUAGAUAAAACAACAAACCAUUAACUGAAUAAUAGAUAUACACUAUUUUUAUAAGAUUUUUUUUUGUAGAACGUCCAGGAAUAAAAUUUUAAGAAAUUCUAACAGCAUGUCUGCUAAGAACAUGUCAAAACUAAGUGUGUCCUAUUAGAUCAUGGUCUCUUGAUCGUAGGAAUCUUCAUAAACAAAAACACGUCCUUUUACGUUCAAGAAAGCAGCAUAAAAAAGCUUAUCG